GGGCUGCCUUGGGGCAGGUAGCAUGGGCACCUGCCCCUCUUGAGCCUGUGUUACCCAGAAUGACCUAUUGUGUGUUCCAGGGGGUCUGUUUCAACCAGAGCAGACACAACAGCCUCGGCUAGGGGUGUGCUGGGGCCUCCCCUCCUGGGUCACACGCAGCCACCACCAGCGCGCUGGUCCAGGAGAGGUAUCCGACCCCUGGGCAGAGGGUAGCAAUCCAGCCUCCGGUGCUUCCCCCACCCAGGUGCAGAGCAGACAGAGAAAGCCGAUGCGCCCCGGGAGCCGCCGCCUGUGGAGCUCAAGCCAGACCCCACGAGUGGCAUGGCUGCCGCAGAAGCUGAGGCUGCUUUGUCCGAGAGCUCGGAGCAAGAAAUGGAGGUGGAGCCCGCCCGGAAAGGGGAAGAGGAGCAAGAGGAGCAAGAGGAGGAGGGCGCAGGGCCAGCUGAGGUCAAGGAGGAGGGUUCCCAGCUGGAGAACGGAGAGGCCCCCGAGGAGAACGAGAACGAGGAGUCAGCGGGCACAGACUCGGGGCAGGAGCUCGGCUCCGAGGCCCGGGGCCUGCGCUCAGGCACCUACGGCGACCGCACGGAGUCCAAGGCCUACGGCUCCGUCAUCCACAAGUGCGAGGACUGUGGGAAGGAGUUCACGCACACGGGGAACUUCAAGCGGCACAUCCGCAUCCACACGGGGGAGAAGCCCUUCUCGUGCCGGGAGUGCAGCAAGGCCUUUUCCGACCCGGCCGCGUGCAAGGCCCAUGAGAAGACGCACAGCCCUCUGAAGCCCUACGGCUGCGAGGAGUGCGGGAAGAGCUACCGCCUCAUCAGCCUGCUCAACCUGCACAAGAAGCGGCACUCGGGCGAGGCGCGCUACCGCUGCGAGGACUGCGGCAAGCUCUUCACCACCUCGGGCAACCUCAAGCGCCACCAGCUGGUGCACAGCGGCGAGAAGCCCUAC
rnacentral:sRNA from 1 species